GAGAGAGGAGGUCCAUGGCGAAGAAGCUCUGCUCCAACCCUCCCUGCCUCCUAAUACAAGAUGUCUUUUUUUGUGUGUGCUUGUAUUGCAGCAGCCAUGUGCGUAUCAAAAAAAGGGUCCAGUUUGCAGCAGUCACAUGAUAUGGACAUGUUUUUUCAUCACAAUUGGAUUUUUGGAUUUACUAGGCUAAUUGGUGGUGGUUGCUAUUGUUGUUGUUUUAGCAGCAGCAGCAGGCGGAGUGACGAUGUUGGCUAUGUGCAGGCCAUGGAGGCGAUGAUGAGCACGAGGGGAAGGCCGCUGCUUCAACCCCGUUAAGCUUACGUGUGGGAUUUGCUUCGGAAGUUGUCCACGUGAGUCAAUGGGUGCUGCUUCAUGUGGGCAUCCUUUCUGUGGUGUAUGUUGGAGAGGCGCAGGAACAAGCAGAGGCCGAGGAAGUGCAGGCACGCGCUGCUGGCCUUGGCAGGUGUAGGAACCGUGCGAGGAAGGUUCAGCGCGCUGCACAAGUCGGGCCACGCCCGAAGCGCCGCGCCAACGCAUGUGUGCGUGGUCGGUGGGUUAGCCAAGAUCUGCAUUCUGCGACUUCGUCUUCACCAUGGACACAAACAAGGACUGAUUGGUGGUUCUUGGUAGCGGUGCCCAGCAUCGGCGGAUCGAAGUGGUCGAGGUCGCGGUUAAUCCACCAGGACGAGACAUGCAUCUUGGAGCUAGCGCAGAGGGGGGAAGAAGCAGGUUGGUAUGGCCCGGUAUGUCCAGUUCUUCCCAUGAAGGUCACAUGCCUAACUUCGUGCUAGACAUUGCUAACUUAGCCACUUGAUGUUAAACUCUGUAUGUGUAACUAGACCUAGCACCACUCAAUGAUUCGAUGUGUUAAAUUAAAGUACCAAUUAGGCAUGUUCACCCCUUUGUACAUGUGUGCUGUUGCAUUGCUUACUAUAUCUUGUUGUAUAUG